rnacentral:rRNA from 1 species
GCGAGUGGAUCCCUUCGGGGUGAAGCUCGUGGAACGAGCGGCGGACGGGUGAGUAACACGUGGGCAACCUGCCUGUAAGAUCGGAAUAACCCCGGGAAACCGGGGCUAAUGCCGGGUAAUACUUUUCUUCGCAUGAAGAUAAGUUGAAAGAUGGCUUCUCGCUAUCACUUACAGAUGGGCCCGCGGCGCAUUAGCUAGUUGGUGAGGUAACGGCUCACCAAGGCAACGAUGCGUAGCCGACCUGAGAGGGUGAUCGGCCACACUGGGACUGAGACACGGCCCAGACUCCUACGGGAGGCAGCAGUAGGGAAUCUUCCGCAAUGGACGAAAGUCUGACGGAGCAACGCCGCGUGAACGAUGAAGGUCUUCGGAUCGUAAAGUUCUGUUGUCAGGGAAGAACAAGUACCGUGCGAAUAGAGCGGUACCUUGACGGUACCUGACGAGGAAGCCCCGGCUAACUACGUGCCAGCAGCCGCGGUAAUACGUAGGGGGCAAGCGUUGUCCGGAAUUAUUGGGCGUAAAGCGCGCGCAGGCGGUUCCUUAAGUCUGAUGUGAAAGCCCACGGCUCAACCGUGGAGGGUCAUUGGAAACUGGGGAACUUGAGGACAGAAGAGGAGAGUGGAAUUCCACGUGUAGCGGUGAAAUGCGUAGAUAUGUGGAGGAACACCAGUGGCGAAGGCGACUCUCUGGUCUGUUUCUGACGCUGAGGUGCGAAAGCGUGGGUAGCAAACAGGAUUAGAUACCCUGGUAGUCCACGCCGUAAACGAUGAGUGCUAGGUGUUAGGGGGCUUCCACCCCUUAGUGCUGAAGU